GCGGCUCGCUCGGCCUCCCUCGUCCCCCGGUGGCCCGCCCCCUCGGGCUCCCGCCAACUGGAGGGGCCUCGGCCUGGGACCCCGGCGCCCUCCCGCCCGCCUCUCGGCUCGGGUCUGCGCUCUGAAAACGGAGGGCGCGCCCUGUUGUUUCUGCAUCCCGUUAGGCGGAGGCGAGGGACCGGACCAAAAAGAGCACGCUGCUGUCCAACUAAUCCAACAAUGGCUGGCUGUGAAUGGAAAGUCCAAGAACGCUCUGUCCCAUGAGGCUGGGUGUCUCAGCUGCUCUUCUGGAGUCCCGGAGAAGGCUCCAGUGAGGGAAUGGAAGUCCGGACAACUCGAGGGCAAGCAGGCAAACCUUCCUUCCUCCAUUAUCCUUAUAUAGGCUUCCAGCAGAAGGUGUGGCCCAGAUUAAAGGUGUGCUUUCCAACUCAA